rnacentral:rRNA from 1 species
AAUAGAUACCCGGGUAGUCCACACCGUAAACGUUGGGCGCUAGGUGUGGGGCCUAUUCCAUGGGUUCCGUGCCGCAGCUAACGCAUUAAGCGCCCCGCCUGGGGAGUACGGCCGCAAGGCUAAAACUCAAAGGAAUUGACGGGGGGCCCGCACAAGCGGCGGAGCAUGCGGAUUAAUUCGAUGCAACGCGAAGAACCUUACCUGGGUUUGACAUACACCGGAAAGCGCCAGAGAUGGUGCCCCUUUUGUCGGUGUACAGGUGGUGCAUGGCUGUCGUCAGCUCGUGUCGUGAGAUGUUGGGUUAAGUCCCGCAACGAGCGCAACCCUCGUCCUAUGUUGCCAGCACGUCGUGGUGGGGACUCAUAGGAAACUGCCGGGGUCAACUCGGAGGAAGGUGGGGAUGACGUCAAGUCAUCAUGCCCCUUAUGUCCAGGGCUUCACGCAUGCUACAAUGGCCGGUACAAAGGGCUGCGAUGCUGCAAGGCGGAGCGAAUCCCAAAAGCCGGUCUCAGUUCGGAUUGGGGUCUGCAACUCGACCCC